GAGAGAGGAAGGGCGGCUGCCGGUGGCAGGAAUGCUGCUGAGAAAAGUCCCCUCACCUUCUGGACCGCGGACGCAUUCAAGUGCGUAGGGUGAGAAUCCUGGCUCUGGAACAGAAACGAUACCGCAGCACAGAAAUGCGAUGAGCCCGAAAGGGCGAGGUCAUGCGUGUGCGGAUGGAACGGCGAAUCCCCGCGGGUGCAAGCCGAAAUAGGACAACAGGGCAGUCCAGACCUGUCCGAGUACGGCGCAUAGCUGAAUGCCGCAUGAGCGCGACAAGGGCAUUGCCCUUUGCGCUAAACAUAAAGGGGCUUACUCUCCUCACUC
rnacentral:RNase_P_RNA from 1 species